GGUUGUGUAGUGUAGUGGUUAUCACUGUAGGUUCUCGCAGAAGCGCUCCAGCAUUCAUCAGAUACUGACUCCCAUCGAGCCGGAUUUUGAUCCCUUGCCAUCAAAUGCCUUCCGGCAACCCCGGUUCGAGCCCGGGCACGACCU
rnacentral:tRNA from 1 species